rnacentral:RNase_P_RNA from 1 species
GGAGCCGGCUCGGCGGUCGCUCGUCCGGUCGCAGGACCGGUCGGGAGGAAAGUCCGGGCUCCACAGGGCAGAGUGCCAGGUAACGCCUGGGAGGCGUGAGCCUACGGAAAGUGCCACAGAAAACAGACCGCCGCGGCUGCGCAUGGCGUAUCGCGGUAAGGGUGAAAAGGUGCGGUAAGAGCGCACCGCGCGGCCGGCAACGGUUCGCGGCACGGUAAACCCCACUCGGAGCAAGACCAAAUAGGGAAGCAAUGGCGCGGCCCGCGCUGCUUCCGGGUAGGUCGCUAGAGGCCGACAGUGAUGUCGGUCCCAGAUGAAUGACCGCUCUCGACAGAACCCGGCUUACCGGCCGGCUCCAUUU